GAUGAACGCUGGCGGUGUGCCUAAUACAUGCAAGUCGAGCGAACAGACGAUGAGCUUACUCCCCUGACGUUAGCGGCGGACGGGUGAGUAACACGUGCAUAACCUACCUCUAAUACUGGGAUAACUUCGUGAAACCGGAUCUAAUAACGGAUCACAUGAUGAACCGCAUGGUUCAACAGUGAAAGACGGUCUUGCUGUCUCUAUUAGAUGGAUCCGCGUCGCAUUAGCUAGUUGGUAAGGUAACGGCUUACCAAGGCUACGAUCCGUAGCCGACCUGAGAGGAUGAUCGGCCACACUGGAACUGAGACACGGUCCAGACUCCUACGGGAGGCAGCAGUAGGGAAUCUUGGACAAUGGGCGAAAGCCUGACGGAGCCACGCCGCGUGAGUGAAGAAGGUCUUCGGAUCGUAAAACUCUGUUAUUAGGGAAGAACAACUGUGUAAGUAACUCUGCACGUCUUGACGGUACCUAAACAGAAAGCCCCGGCUAACUUCGUG
rnacentral:rRNA from 1 species